GCUGUCGCUUAUGGAUGGACCCGCGGCGUAUUAGUUAGUUGGUGAGGUAACGGCUACCAAGCCGAAGACGGGUAGCUGGUCUGAGAGGAUGAUCAGCCACACUGGAACUGAGACACGGUCCAGACUCCUACGGGAGGCAGCAGUGGGGAAUCUUGCGCAAUGGGCGAAAGCCUGACGCAGCGACCCGCGUGAGUGAUGAAGGCCUUCGGGUUGUAAAGCUCUGUGGAGGGGGACGAAUAAGGGUUGGCUAACAUCCAGCUCGAUGACGGUACCCCCUUUAGCAAGCACCGGCUAACUCUGUGCCAGCAGCCGCGGUAAGACAGAGGGUGCAAACGUUGUUCGGAAUUACUGGGCGUAAAGCGCGUGUAGGCUGCUCGGAAAGUCGGAUGUGAAAGCCCUGGGCUCAACCUAGGAAGUGCAUUCGAAACUUCCGAGCUGGAGUGCUGGAGAGGAAGGCGGAAUUCUCGGUGUAGAGGUGAAAUUCGUAGAUAUCGAGAG
rnacentral:rRNA from 1 species